rnacentral:rRNA from 1 species
UACGGAGGGUGCAAGCGUUGCUCGGAAUUAUUGGGCGUAAAGAGCUCGUAGGCGGUCUGUCGCGUCGAUCGUGAAAACUUGGGGCUUAACCCUGAGCUUGCGGUCGAUACGGGCAUGACUGGAGUUCGGCAGGGGAGACUGGAAUUCCUGGUGUAGCGGUGAAAUGCGUAGAUAUCUGGAGGAACACCGGUGGCGAAGGCGACAUCCUGGACCGGUAUUGACGCUGAGGCGCGAAAGCCAGGGGAGCAAACGGGG